AGCUUAUCCAAUGAUCACUUUUUCAGUUGUAUCCUGACAGGCAUUUCCUUUUAAGAAAAGUUGAAGUUGGGUGGCAAGAGAGGGAAAUGAAGAUUAAGGUUUGAGGAGGAGGACGGGAUGGAAACACUAUAGCAGCGUAACGUUUGGGGCUAUUCCGUUCUUUGACAGUGGGUCCUCCUCGAUUCCCUCCUGAGUCGCGGUGACUGCGGUGGCUUCUCCCAGAAUGCUUCAGUCACUUCUCACCAGCGUCCUCUGUUGGAUGCUCUUCCUCCUGUUGAGUGCAAGAUCCUUCUCCUCCUGAGUCGCAGUGGCUGCGGUGACUCCUCCCAGGAUGCUUCAGUCAUUUCUCACCAAAGCCCUCUGUUGGAUCAUAGCUAAUUCGCACCUCAUACCAUCUUAGUUUCCUUUAUAAAGAUUCAGGACCCUAGCCUCAGAAUCAACUACGUCACUCUCCAUCUUGAUGAAGAAUUCUUUCAUUUUAUGGUUGUUAUCUCCAAGGGGCCUCGCCCAACUAGAUUACCAAUUAUUCCUUUCUCAUUAUACAAUAAUGUAAAUUUAAAUAAAUUUGACUGUAUCAUUUACUGCAGUUCCAGUUAAA